AAAUUUGUUGGAUUUUCCCUCCCACUAAGAAACUCCAAUAGUUUUGCAAAUUUUGUUUGGCAAAUGUUGUUAUUUGCCAACUCCCAAAAUGAUAUGGGGAGAUAACAAAAAGGGCAUCUCCAAAUGUUUGGCAAUUUUGACUUGGCAAAAAAUAUCUGUUGGUUUUGGAGAUCAAUGAAGAAGCAUCAGGUUGUCAUCUUGCUAAAAAAACACACGCAUGUAGUAUGCCAAGCCUAUUCUAGGCGUGCAUAAAUGCCAAGAAAGGAGGAGAAUUUGCUAACUUGCUAUAUAUGCCAAGCCCAAUUGUCAAACUAUUGGAUAGGAGAUUUUAAGGGUUUUGGCAAAAAAAACAAGAAUGCCUAACCUAUUUACAAAACUGUUAGAGUUGCUCUAACAUCUGUUGGCCCAACAAAUGUGGCUACCAAUGUUUUUAUGUUCUCUCCUCUCGCACACACACACAACUUCUUGCCCAUGGCCACUUGUAAGCUUUUCUCUUGGUCGCGUGACCCUCCUAGUGGUGGUUAUAACACCCUGGUAUAUGUGUGCCUAGGAAGUCCACACAUACAAUAAAAGAAUAGAAAUAUCAGAAACAAUGUAAUAUAUAACAGAAUUCAUAUUUAUAUUAACACUUACAAUUAUCAGAGUAUCGCGGAAUGUGUACUGAACUUUUUUCCUUAGGCUCCAUUCUUCUCAGGGACGACUGACUGAGGGCUCCAUAUGCCAAGCACUUCUGAUAUGCUUCUAGAAAACUCCAUGACAUCUUUGUCUUUCUUCUGAGCAGUACUUUACUACACACCGAGGGUGUGAGGGGAAAUAGCAAGGGUGAGCUCAUGUCGAACUCAGCAAGCACAGAUAGAAAGUAAUGACAUGCAAAGCUUAAAACAAGAAAAUAGCUGACACUAUUUGACUACGGAUGAGCUUUUAAGUUGGUAAACUUUUAUUGUAACAAAUAUUUUAUUAAAACAACC
rnacentral:lncRNA from 1 species